rnacentral:rRNA from 1 species
UACGAAGGGUGCAAACGUUGCUCGGAAUUAUUGGGCGUAAAGCGCACGUAGGCGGCUUGGCAAGUCGGAUGUGAAAGCCCACGGCUCAACCAUGGAAGUGCAUCCGAAACUGCUGAGCUUGAGUACGGAAGAGGCGAGUGGAAUUCCUGGUGUAGCGGUGAAAUGCGCAGAUAUCAGGAGGAACACCAAUGGCGAAGGCAGCUUGCUGGCAUGUUUCUGACGCUAAGGCACGAAAGCGUGGGUAGCGAACAGG